UACGUAGGUGGCAAGCGUUGUCCGGAUUUAUUGGGUUUAAGGGGUGCGUAGGCGGCUUAUUAAGUCAGUGGUGAAAUACUCUAGCUCAACUAGAGGGGUGCCAUUGAUACUGAUGAGCUUGAGUACAGAUGAGGUAGGCGGAAUUGACGGUGUAGCGGUGAAAUGCUUAGAUAUCGUCAAGAACACCUAUAGCGAAGGCAGCUUACUAGGCUGUAACUGACGCUGAGGCACGAAAGUGUGGGGAUCAAACAGG
rnacentral:rRNA from 1 species